rnacentral:rRNA from 1 species
AUGGAUCCUCUGGUCACCCUCCCCGACGACCUAAUUUUCAUGGAAGUCUUGGUGCGACUGCCCGUGAAAUGCCUUGCGCGCUGCAAAUUCGUCAGCCCCAACUGGCGCGCCCGCAUAGAGGGCGCCGACUUCGUCAGCCACCACCGCAAGCGCUCCAGCGCGAGCCGGCCGUCCAUUCUUUUCAUCCCCCGCAAGCAUGGCAUCAAAGACGAAGAAGAGUUCUCCGACGACAUCAGCUUCUACCGCCUCGGGCCGGGACAGGAGCCCGAUACCUUCGAGGACGAGGCAGAGCUGAUGCUGGAGAAGGCGUGCCCGCCCGAAGCGGCAGGCAUCACGAACGUGAUCUACCCCAUGCACUGCGACGGCCUGGUCGUCAUCGCGACCGGCACGGACCAGGUAUUCCUGUGCAACCCAGCCACCAAGGAGUUCGUCGCGCUGCCGCUCGGCACCCCGGACGUCGACAUCCACUGCAUGAGGCCUCCAUCGGCAGCCAUCGGCUUCGACCAGUGGAAGAACCAGUACGUCGUCGCCAGGUACUUCUACCGGCGCCGGUGCUACAAGAAGCCCAGCGGCAAGCUUGACUACGACAUCGGGCACGAGGUAUUCACACUCGGGAAUAACUCCUCCUGGGAAGCCACCGCCGACCCUCCUCACGCUAUCGGUGACACGCCACCGGUGUGCACGAGAGAUGCCAUCUACUGGGGGUGCGACGGCAGGGAAGACCCCCGGCCGAGCUCGCUGAUGCGGUUUAGCCUGCGCUACAGGACGUUCGAUUUGGUGCCAUGCCCUCCUCGUUUCGCCUACAACUCUGGCAUCGAGCAUCUGGCAGAUCUGGGUGGCAAGCUGUGCCACGUCAACAUUGCGACCUCGAAGACGGCCUUUCACGUGUGGCAGCUGGCGGACGACGGUACACUGUGGUUGCCGCGCUGCCGGAUUUAUCCAGGUGAUGGUAGUUAUUUCGGCUUUGGUGCCUUCUUGCCGCUUUUGGCCGCCGGUGGCAGGAUGCUGACGAUGGUGUCCGACGUCGACCAGAGGUUGUACUGGUGCGAUGAGAAGAGCGGAGAUGUUGAAAAAGUGAUGAACCUGGAAGAUAUCGAUUUCGAGGAAUGGGACGACUCAAACUACUGCAUUCACCACGUCGUCCCUUAUAGGGAGAGUCUCAUCUCCAUCAGGAACUAUAUGGUGUAA